GUGCCAGCAGCCGCGGUAAUACGUAGGGUGCGAGCGUUGUCCGGAAUUACUGGGCGUAAAGAGCUCGUAGGUGGUUUGUCGCGUCGUCUGUGAAAUUCCGGGGCUUAACUCCGGGCGUGCAGGCGAUACGGGCUGACUUGAGUGCUGUAGGGGAGACUGGAAUUCCUGGUGUAGCGGUGAAAUGCGCAGAUAUCAGGAGGAACACCGAUGGCGAAGGCAGGUCUCUGGGCAGUUACUGACGCUGAGGAGCGAAAGCAUGGGUAGCGAACAGGAUUAGAUACCCUGGUAGUCCAUGCCGUAAACGGUGGGCGCUAGGUGUAGGGGGCUUCCACGUCUUCUGUGCCGUAGCUAACGCAUUAAGCGCCCCGCCUGGGGAGUACGGCCGCAAGGCUAAAACUCAAAGGAAUUGACGGGGGCCCGCACAAGCGGCGGAGCAUGUGGAUUAAUUCGAUGCAACGCGAAGAACCUUACCUGGGCUUGACAUACACCGGAUCGCUGCAGAGAUGUAGUUUCCCUUGUGGCUGGUGUACAGGUGGUGCAUGGUUGUCGUCAGCUCGUGUCGUGAGAUGUUGGGUUAAGUCCCGCAACGAGCGCAACCCUUGUCUUGUGUUGCCAGCACGUUAUGGUGGGGACUCGCGAGAGACUGCCGGGGUUAACUCGGAGGAAGGUGGGGAUGACGUCAAAUCAUCAUGCCCCUUAUGUCCAGGGCUUCACACAUGCUACAAUGGUCGGUACAGUGGGUUGCGAUACCGUGAGGUGGAGCUAAUCCCUUAAAGCCGGUCUCAGUUCGGAUUGGAGUCUGCAACUCGACUCCAUGGAGUCGGAGUCGCUAGUAAUCGCAGAUCAGCAACGCUGCGGUGAAUACGUUCCCGGGCCUUGUACACACCGCCCGUCACGUCAUGAAAGCUGGUAACACCCGAAGCCAGUGGCCCAAACUUGUUAGGGAGCUGUCGAAGGUGGGAUUGGCGAUUGGGACGAAGUCGUAACAAGGUA
rnacentral:rRNA from 1 species